rnacentral:rRNA from 1 species
CAGUAGCCGCGGGAAUACAGAGGGUGCGAGCGUUAAUCGGAUUUACUGGGCGUAAAGCGUGCGUAGGCGGCUUUUUAAGUCGGAUGUGAAAUCCCCGAGCUUAACUUGGGAAUUGCAUUCGAUACUGGGAAGCUAGAGUAUGGGAGAGGAUGGUAGAAUUCCAGGUGUAGCGGUGAAAUGCGUAGAGAUCUGGAGGAAUACCGAUGGCGAAGGUAGCCAUCUGGCCUAAUACUGACGCUGAGGUACGAAAGCAUGGGGAGCAAACAGGAUUAGAUACCCCAGUAGUCCCUGUCUCUUAUAC